GAUGAACGCUAGCUACAGGCUUAACACAUGCAAGUCGAGGGGCAGCAUGGGAUUAGCUUGCUAAUCCUGAUGGCGACCGGCGCACGGGUGCGUAACGCGUAUCCAACCUGCCCUCUACUCCGGAACAGCCCGUCGAAAGGCGGAUUAAUGCCGGAUGGUGUCACAUGCCCGCAUGAGUGUGUGACUAAAGGCAACGGUAGAGGAUGAGGAUGCGACUGAUUAGCUUGUUGGCGGGGUAACGGCCCACCAAGGCAACGAUCAGUAGGGGUUCUGAGAGGAAGGUCCCCCACAAUGGAACUGAGACACGGUCCAAACUCCUACGGGAGGCAGCAGUGAGGAAUAUUGGUCAAUGGGCGAGAGCCUGAACCAGCCAAGUAGCGUGCGGGAAGACGGCCCUAUGGGUUGUAAACCGCAUUUGAUUAGGAACAAAGAGCGCCACGUGUGGUGCGUUGCGUGUACCUUUCGAAUAAGCAUCGGCUAAUUCCGUGCCAGCCGCCGCCGUAAUAC
rnacentral:rRNA from 1 species